UGACAGCACAGCCAGCCAGCCUUAUCUUACAAUGACAGUAAUAUCAGUGACCUUGGAGAUACAUCAUGAUAUCACGCAAAGGUUUCCACCAUGCACAUUACCCAGACAAGAUAUGGAGGUGGGAGUUUUAGUAACUAUUCCUCCUCCAUUCCAUCGACUCCCAGCACCAGCCAGGAGGACCUUCAGGUCAAUGUUCCUCCCACUGCCAACACACCCACGCCCGUUUGCAAGCGGUCCAAGCACUGGUCCAAGCUGUUUACAUCUGAGAAAGGGAGUCACCCAGACAAAGAGAACAAAGCCCGGGAGAGCCAUGCUGACACCAUCGGGAGCGGCAGAGCCAUCCCCAUUAAACAGGGCAUGCUCUUAAAGCUAAGUGGGAAAUGGCUGAAGAAAUGGAAAAAUAUGUUACCCUCUGUGACAAUGGCAUGCUCACCUAUUAUUCAAGCUUAGGUGAUUAUAUGAAGAAUAUUCACAAAAAAAGAGAUUGACCUGCGAACAUCUACCAUCGAAGUCCCAGGAAAGAGGCCACCCCUAGCCACAUUGGCCUGUGCGCCCAUUUCCAGCUCUAAAGGCAAUUGCGUAUCCAAGGACAUGAACAGUCUAUGUACCUCAGCCAAUUCAGACACCGGACUGGGUGACUCCAUAUGCUCCAGCCCCGAUAUCUCCAGCACCACCAGCCCCAAGCUCAACCCACCCCCCUCUUCUCAUGCCAACAAAAAGAAACACCAAAGGAAGAAAUGCACCAACAACUUAAAAGACAAUGGCCUGUCUGGCACUGCUGAAAAACAAGCAGAAAACUUUAUCAUUGUGUCCCUCACCGGCCAAACGUGGCACUUUGAAGCCAUGACGUAUGAGGAGCGGGAUGCCUGGGUCCAAGCCAUUGAGAGCCAGAUCGUGGCCAGCCUGCAGUCAGGCGAGAGCAGCAAAAGCAAGUUCCGGCUGCUUUAGACUAGCACAAGAUUAUUUACUAACAAUCUUGAUCUUUAGCCACAUUUCUCUGCAAUAAAUUUGCUAUGAUGCCAUGAUGGGGAUCAGCAAGCUACGUUUUCCAAGUUCCUUCUAGUGGGAUCCUGUUGGUUCUGCUAUUGGGAGGUACUAGAGAAACAUAGAAAGGCAAGAGAAUGGAAGAAUAGAUCUCCUUUUCCUGUUUAUUUGCUGUCCUUGCCGAUGUUCUCCCAAGAACAUCCCCUUGCCGUAGGAGCAGUAAUUGUUUCAGUUUACCAGUUUUUUCAGAGCCCCAGAAAGUGCCUCUUCAGAGGUAACAGCAGCAGUUGGAACAUACCUCUCCCUCAGAGAUCUAGUCUCAGCCCAGGAAGGCUUUUACUCUGAGUUUUAAUUGUAAUAACUCCAGUCUCUUCCCUUCAUUCAUCUAAGCUCUGAGGAGGCCCCUAUGUGGCCAGGAGAUGGUGGUGAUGGCUGCAUCUUGCAGUCAUUUUCUUUGCUUUCCACAGUGUUGUUACUUGUUUCUCCUAUUUCCUAUGUGGUCAAUGUUUUAAUAUUAACUCAUAGUCAUAGUGUAGUGUUAGUACUUUAUGUGAAAUGACAUGUUUUUUAUAAUGUAGCCAUGGCCUACUAAUAGCAUAUUUUCUUUUAGAUUUGGUAAUAUAUAUUUUGCUUCAGUGACUUUAUACACUUAUUUGUUGCCCAAAUUAGUUUUUCAUAUACAAAACAUCCAAUAUUACCCUGUUCCCAUCAUUUCUUCUGAUAUCCAUUGUCCUGUGAUUUCUCCUGGAAAGUGAAUUGUUUAUCCAUCCAUUUCACUCUGUGAAGUCAUACAGGUCUAUCUAUGUAGAACUCCUGUGCUGCAAUUUAUUCCCUGUGUGAAACUGGGCAAUUCAUUAAUCUGGGAAUAUGUUUCUUCAUAUGCAAAUCAGAGGUAACACUUACCUCACAACAUUGUUUAGAGCAUUAAAAGAAAUAUCAUAUGAUGUCUUUCACACAGAAUUUCCCUGGGUGUGAAUUGAACAAUGUCAGUUUUUCUCCCAUUUAAUGUGAAAACUGACUAUAUAAAUAAACAUAUUGUAGAGGAAACACAGGCUCAGAUAGGAUAUAAAUUGCCCGUAUCACAAAAUUAGUAAGUGAUGGAGCUAAAAUACAAACAAGAUUUACCUAUUUACAAAAAUCAAUAAUUUUUCCUCUAAAACAAGUCACUAUAUGUCUUUGGUUGUUAAGUGAAAUGUACUCAACUUCACAUUUUAAAAUAUGCCACAAAUGUACCCAUAAAGCAAGUGAACAUGA